rnacentral:rRNA from 1 species
GAUGAACGCUAGCUACAGGCUUAACACAUGCAAGUCGAGGGGCAGCAUGGUCUCAGCUUGCUAAGGCCGAUGGCGACCGGCGCACGGGUGAGUAACACGUAUCCAACCUGCCGUCUACUCUUGGACAGCCUUCUGAAAGGAAGAUUAAUACAAGAUGGCAUCAUGAUUUCACAUGUUCACAUGAUUAAAGGUAUUCCGGUAGACGAUGGGGAUGCGUUCCAUUAGAUAGUAGGCGGGGUAACGGCCCACCUAGUCUUCGAUGGAUAGGGGUUCUGAGAGGAAGGUCCCCCACAUUGGAACUGAGACACGGUCCAAACUCCUACGGGAGGCAGCAGUGAGGAAUAUUGGUCAAUGGGCGAGAGCCUGAACCAGCCAAGUAGCGUGAAGGAUGACUGCCCUAUGGGUUGUAAACUUCUUUUAUAAAGGAAUAAAGUCGGGUAUGUAUACCCGUUUGCAUGUACUUUAUGAAUAAGGAUCGGCUAACUCCGUG